UGCUGUCAGCCUCCAAACCCACCAUGCAAAUGACAGUCCACUCUCUGAAACUGAAGCUGGAUACAGGAUGCUUAACGUUCCCAGAGUACUCAGUGUCCAUUCUGAAUGGUUUAGAUUGGGCACCAAGAUAUACAAGAAAAUUAAAAUCACCGGGAAGCCUACUAGAAAAAUAGGCAUUUUUAUUACAGUUAUUAAUGUGCAUUUGUGGAGACCUGAGCUGUGUCCUGUGGGUGUAAACAUGCUAAGCCUUGUGUGUGGAAGUCAGAGAACCACCCAUGGAAGGUGGUUCUCUCCUCCUAAAGUGUCCUGGGACUCAGAGUUCAGUUGUCAUCUUGUAGCAGGUGCCCUCAUUGCCUGAGCCACCUUCCUGCCCUAACGCACUGUUUUGUUUUCAAUAGAGAUUGGUUUUUGUAUCUCCCAUACUAUCUAACAAAAUAACUUCAUGUGUUACAACUUAA
rnacentral:lncRNA from 1 species